CCUCUCUCUGUAGCCAGGCCUUCAUGUCAAAAAAAGGGAUGCUGUGUCACUUCUGUCUCUUGUAGGUGAUGAUGAAACCUGUAGAUGGUUAAAGAAAAUGCUUUGUUCUGUGGAAUGCUGCAGUACUCGUGAAAUGUCAUCACAGAGCAGAAAUGUCCGGAUAUUUAAUCCAAACCUCACCUUAUUGGUUGGAAGAAGUUUGUAAAGCUGAGUUUUCUUAUGCAGGUACUCCAAAAUAAGGUACCAAUUCAUCAGUCUAAGAGUAACUUUAUAUGGAUACUGAUGGUGAUGGCUACAGUGUCAAGAGCCAAAAGUGUCCCUCCUGGAGCAGUGGCUCUGUCCACCCGAGCUAGCCCGACACUGCGAUCAGAUGGGGAACAUGCCUCUGGAUCCUGGGAACCAGAGGAGCAGCUAAGGGGGUUUUCCCCUUGUCACGGGAGAGACCACGCCAGCGGUGGAGAAAGGAGUCUGACUCAGCUGGAGAGCAAAGUCCAAGGUGUUUAUUGAGUCCUGGAUGGGACAUCCGAACCUCAGGGGAGCGACUCCAGCUGAGCGCCGGGGAUGAUGAGCUCUGGGCUUAAAUGCAGAGGGGUGACUAAGGGAGGAGACAAACCAACAUCCGAUGAAGGACAAGGUGGGAGUGGAACAGGGUUGGAGGGACAUUUAAAGAAACCAAUGAGAACAUAAAGGGAGGAACCUCCUCGGCUCCUGCCCUAUCACUUGAUGCAUUAUCUACUCAAAAAAGAAAGCAAUGCCAUUUAGCGCUAUGUAGUAAUCUCUUGGGUUUUAAAAACAAAUUAUGAUGGUUGCACCCAAAUGGGGGGAGCAGUAACAGGAAGAGAGAAAUCUUGCUGAGAUGUUCAAAAGCAGCUGUAGGCUAAUGCUUUUUAAUAAAGUUCUCAAAUACAGUGGUAUUGGAACGUCUUGUGCAAAGACGGUUCUUCUGGUAACAUUCAUUUAAAGAUGUCUUCUUAUAUUUCUGCAUUUACUGAAAAUAUUUUGGAGCAAUAUACUCUUGAAGUAUGUGCGUGGAAAAAAUGCUAUUCAUCGUUUUCUGAUGUGUGUGUAUACUUUAUGGUUGUUUCUGUGUAGGUAUAGAAGAGUCCCAUGUGGAUUUCCCACUAACCCACAACCCUGUCGCUUUGGGCAAUGAGUUGUAAUGCAGAUGAUGUUUUGUUCUAGAAGUCUGAGGCACACUUUCUUAAAUGUUUUAACAUCAGCUUGUCUUUCCUG